GUCUAGGGUUAUACCAUGCUGAAUGUGCCCAAUCUCAUCUGAUCUUGGAAGCUAAACAGGAUUGGGCCUGGUUAGUACUUGGAUGGGUGAUCACUUGAAGUUACAAAGAUAGAAGAUA
rnacentral:rRNA from 1 species